rnacentral:tRNA from 1 species
GUUACUUUGGCAGAUUAGUGCGUUAGAUUUAGAAUCUUUUUAUGUAAUAUUUUACAGGUAAUA